CCGUGCUUUAAGUUUUAGAAAAUGUGGUUCUCUAGAGGGAUCGUGGUGGUUUUUAAAUUGCCUGUCCCUGAAGAGCAAUGAAUCUGAGCACCUUUCAUAUGCUUAUUGAUUACCUAGAUUUUUCUCUUUUUUGAAGUGCUUAUUUAAGCCUUGUUCACUCUUUAAAAAACAAGUUGUCUUUUUCUUACUGGUUUAUAGAAGGUCUUUAUACUUUUUGGAUACAAAUCUUUGUCAAUAUGUGUAUUGAAGAUAUUGUUUCCAAUACUUUGGCUUGCCCCUUUUCCCUGUUAAUGGUGGUUUUUUGCCAAACAAUUGAAGAAACUUCUUUGAAUUUCUCAUACACAUUCUACUACCUUCACCUUGGAGCUUUCAUACUCUUAACUGAGGCACUACUUAGAUUUUUAUUUUCUCCUGGAAGACUUUCCCACUUCUAUUGUCUUAACUGGGACUCUGGUGACACAAACCCAGCUCAUCAGGCUGGGGAUUCAAACCCCAUCAAGACUCUCUCUGUCCACUUUCAUCUCUAUGUGUCAAUUUUGUUUUCUCAAGCCAGUUUUCUGCCUGUAGAAGAAAAAAUGGUCCCAUUAUUUCUCCAUUUGCACCCUUUUUUUUCCCUCUACCAGGAAAGGACUGCCUUUCCUCCCUUAAAUUCAACUUUGAAAAUUCUGAUGAGGGACUUCUCUGGUUAAGAAUUAAUCUUCCAAUGCAGGGGACACAGGUUCGAUCCCUGGUUAAGGAACUAAAAUAUCCCACAUGUGGCAGGGCAACUAAGCCUGCUCGGUGCAAAUGGAGAAGCCCACACACUGCAACGAAGACUCAGUGCAGACUAAAUAAAUACAUAAAGUAAGAUAAAAUCCUGAUGAAGAAUUCAGACAGCUCGACCAGACUCAGAUCACUCACGAGCCCUGUAGCUAGAAAGAGUGCUGGAGACCUUAGCCCCCAGUAGCCCUACAAGAGAGUGUAUGAAAACCAGUUCUCCCAAAAACACAAGAAAGCACUGUUCCCAGAAGCAGAAAGGGGUGGCUGGGCAGACAGGAAGC
ensembl:lncRNA